AACGAACGCUGGCGGCAGGCCUAACACAUGCAAGUCGAGCGAAGCCUUCGGGCUUAGCGGCGGACGGGUGAGUAACGCGUGGGAACGUGCCCUUUGGUACGGAAUAGCCCCGGGAAACUGGGAGUAAUACCGUAUGUGGUCGAGAGACGAAAGAUUUAUCGCCUAAGGAUCGGCCCGCGUUGGAUUAGGUAGUUGGUGGGGUAAUGGCCUACCAAGCCGACGAUCCGUAGCUGAUCUUAGAGGAUGAUCAGCCACACUGGGACUGAGGCACGGCCCAGACUCCUACGGGAGGCAGCAGUGGGGAAUCUUGGACAAUGGGCGCAAGCCUGAUCCAGCCAUGCCGCGUGAGUGAAGAAGGUCUUCGGAUUGUAAAGCUCUUUUGCCAGGGACGAUAAUGACGGUACCUGGAGAAUAAGCCCCGGCAAACUUCGUGCCAGCCGCCGCGGUAACAC
rnacentral:rRNA from 1 species